rnacentral:lncRNA from 1 species
AAGGAGAACAACGACACAACACUACAAUGUAACUAACACACACAGAAACGGACCAAGCAUCAGACAAAAUCCCACGAGAAUAACAAAUAUAACAUCAAAACCAAAUAAAUGAAUUUGGGAUAGACAAGUACCGUGACACGUCUUAUCGCAAUGUCAAUUUACACUCAAAAAUAAGAGAAAACAAACGACGCAACGUUAAAUUGCAA